rnacentral:rRNA from 1 species
GAAAUGGUGGGUAAUACUGUAUAAUCCCUGCGGGGGAAAGAUUUAUCGCUAUUAGAUGAGCCUAUGUUAGAUUAGCUAGUUGGUAGGGUAAAGGCCUACCAAGGCAGUGAUCUAUAGCUGGUCUGAGAGGAUGAUCAGCCACACUGGAACUGAGAUACGGUCCAGACUCCUACGGGAGGCAGCAGUGGGGAAUAUUGGACAAUGGGCGCAAGCCUGAUCCAGCUAUGCCGCGUGAGUGAGGAAGGCCUUAGGGUUGUAAAACUCUUUCAGUGGGGAAGAUAAUGACGGUACCCACAGAAGAAGUCCCGGCAAACUCCGUGCCAGCAGCCGCGGUAAUACGGAGGGGGCAAGCGUUGUUCGGAAUUAUUGGGCGUAAAGGGCAUGUAGGCGGUUCGGUAAGUUAAAGGUGAAAUGCCAGGGCU